rnacentral:rRNA from 1 species
GGGGUCAUGGCGACUUACCAAACCUUAGCAAACUCCGAAUACCGCAGAGUACAGCUUGGGAGACAGAGCACCGGGUGCUAACGUCCGGACUCAAGAGGGAAACAACCCAGACCGCCAGCUAAGGUCCCUAAAAUUGGCUAAGUGGGAAACGAAGUGGGAAGGCUAAAACAGUCAGGAUGUUGGCUUAGAAGCAGCCAUCAUUUAAAGAAAGCGUAAUAGCUCACUGAUCGAGUCGUCCUGCGCGGAAGAUGUAACGGGGCUAAGCCAGUUACCGAAGCUGCGGAUGCAUCGCAAGAUGCGUGGUAGGAGAGCGUUCUGUAAGCCUGUGAAGGUGGGUUGUGAAGCCUGCUGGAGGUAUCAGAAGUGCGAAUGCUGACAUGAGUAGCGUUAAAGGGGGUGAAAAGCCCCCUCGCCGAAAGCGCAAGGUUUCCUACGCAACGUUCAUCGGCGUAGGGUGAGUCGGCCCCUAAGGCGAGGCAGAGAUGCGUAGCUGAUGGGAAACAGGUCAAUAUUCCUGUACCGAUCAAUAGUGCGAUGUGGGGACGGAGAAGGUUAGCUCAGCCGGGUGUUGGAUGUCCCGGUUCAAGCCUGUAGUCGUGCCUGGUAGGCAAAUCCGCCGGGCUUAGAUGAGGGGUGAUAACGAGGAGGCUUGCCUCCGAAGUGAGUGAUACCCUGCUUCCAGGAAAAGCCACUAAGCUUCAGCUAUUGACGACCGUACCGCAAACCGACACUGGUGCGCGAGAUGAGUAUUCUAAGGCGCUUGAGAGAACUCUGGAGAAGGAACUCGGCAAAUUGACACCGUAACUUCGGAAGAAGGUGUGCCUUUAGUAGGUGUAGUUGUACAAACGAAGCCCAAUGAGGCCGCAGAGAAUCGGUGGCUGCAACUGUUUAUUAAAAACACAGCACUCUGCAAAGACGAAAGUCGACGUAUAGGGUGUGACUCCUGCCCGGUGCUGGAAGAUUAAAUGAUGGGGUGCAAGCUCUUGACUGAAGUCCCAGUAAACGGCGGCCGUAACUAUAACGGUCCUAAGGUAGCGAAAUUCCUUGUCGGGUAAGUUCCGACCUGCACGAAUGGCGUAACGACUUGGGCGCUGUCUCCUCCACACGCUCGGCGAA